GCAGGCAGUAUUUUGUACAAAGUCAAGAAAACUCCUUCCUCCACUUUUUUCUGAGUCCCGCUCCGCCACCGACCUCCACCACUGCAGGACCUCGACUUUCGUCCAUGCACAUGCCCGAGGCAACAUGGAUACUUGUCAACUAAUAGAUCCUUCCUCCUCACAUCAAGAUCAAGGAGUUUGCCUCAAUGGUUCCCAGUCGCGUGGUGUUGCUUGGCGUUAGCUGGACCUAUAUCCUUAGCAAGACCCAAGCUGCAACUACCACAAUAUGUCUUCUCCCCAGCCACUACAAGAGAACCAAAGACACCUUCCCCAUUUUUCAACUUCUGACUAACGACAUAUAGCUCCCAACAAACAUGUAUUAUAUCCCUACAGUCAUUAUUGCAGACAAGAAAGUUGUCUCUUCUACGUCACCUGCACAAGGUUCUCCAAGCAGCAAGCCGCAAGAUACAGAAGCACAUCCUUGAAACUCAGCUUUAUUUAGAAAUGAUUAUGGCAAUCCUUUGUAGAUGAUCCUUUGAACAAAGCUCGUAGAACUUCCAGGGGGCGAAGAAUGGCCACGGGUCAUGGUUAUAUAAAAAGCUAAAUCCUUAACCAGCCGUCAGCUAUCAUUGGUAUACUUCAUCCUGUGGGGUUAGAAGAAUGCAAAACUGUCCAAAAAUG
rnacentral:sRNA from 1 species